AAACUUAAAGGAAUUGACGGGGACCCGCACAAGCGGUGGAUGAUGUGGAUUAAUUCGAUGCAACGCGAAAAACCUUACCUACCCUUGACAUGUCAGGAAUCCUGCUGAGAGGUGGGAGUGCUCGAAAGAGAACCUGAACACAGGUGCUGCAUGGCUGUCGUCAGCUCGUGUCGUGAGAUGUUGGGUUAAGUCCCGCAACGAGCGCAACCCUUGUCAUUAGUUGCCAUCAUUCAGUUGGGCACUCUAAUGAGACUGCCGGUGACAAACCGGAGGAAGGUGGGGAUGACGUCAAGUCCUCAUGGCCCUUAUGGGUAGGGCUUCACACGUCAUACAAUGGUCGGUACAGAGGGUUGCCAAGCCGCGAGGUGGAGCCAAUCCCAGAAAGCCGAUCGUAGUCCGGAUCGGAGUCUGCAACUCGACUCCGUGAAGUCGGAAUCGCUAGUAAUCGUGGAUCAGCAUGCCACGGUGAAUACGUUCCCGGGUCUUGUACACACCGCCCGUCACACCAUGGGAGUGGGUUUCACCAGAAGUAGGUAGCCUAACCGCAAGGAGGGCGCUUACCACGGUGGGAUUCAUGACUGGGGUGAAGUCGUAACAAGGUAGCCGUAGGGGAACCUGCGGCUGGAUCACCUCCUUUCUG
rnacentral:rRNA from 1 species